GGGAUAGGCGCACUCGUAAAAAUCUAGCGCCAAAGUUAUGAUUUUUUGAAGAAAAAAAAACUUGUCAAUGUAACUCCAGAGUUAAAUGUUACUUAUGUUGAAAACCUUUUCUACUUAAAUGCAUGCAUUUUUUUAAAUAUUUUUUUUGCGUUAUUUCAAAUAAAGAAAACUAAACUUAACCAAAAAUGGCAGCAGCUGAAAGGUGCAGGUUUCGGGUAGUACCUAGUUUCUUAAACUUCGUCACUCACCCGUAACUCAUUCGUACACGUAUACAUAAAACGGUACCAAAGUGGACGUACGGAGGUGAUGAUAUAAGUGCAUCGCGGGGUUGAUGCUGGGUGGCACGAGCAUGGGACACAGUUAUCGUCGAACAGUUGGACGGAGGUUGUUGUGGUGUGAAAUGUGAUGCAUUGAAAAAGCGGAUGGUUCCCUCCAUCGGCUGUUGGUCAAGGGAAUGAAAGCAGAGUUAGUUAUGACUGAACGCUGCAUUCAACAGCCGUUUUCCAGACUCCAAGCCACUCGUAGGUUGAUAGCUCAGCAAUAUUUGCUGUUGUGAUAUUUGAAUCAGGCACACGAGUGAGCACGUUUGUAUGUGGCCGGUAUUUGUUAUCAUUCACAUUCAUCAGUAGUGCUUUAAACUGCAUACAACGCAAUUCAGUUAGUUUUGGACCGGCAGCAUGGAUCCCGUUUGGAUUUUAUUUGGAAUAUUCGUAUGCAUUGUAAUAUGGGCUGUUUGGAGCUGUUUCGACACCACUGUGCGGAAAAACGAGUGUAAAUGCUGUGGCCACAGGGGCCACAAGGCGGAGCAAUGCUUUCACCGGAAUCGAAUCUGUGAAAUUUGCCACGAGGGUGGCCACAUCGCCUCGGUUUGCACCAAAAUAUUCGAAGCGGAAAAUUCCCAGUUUAAACCUUCCAUCGUCCUGUGGGCGCUGACGUGGAUUGAUUACAUCUGCACAAGUUCGGACAACCGAACUUCGCGGUGCAAAUCUUGCGGGGAAAGGGCCCACGGAACGUGCCAGUACGCCGUCAGGAGGUGCUUCCGGUGUCGCGUCAAGGGUCACAAGUCGUCGGCCUGUCCUGGGAAGAAGCUGUAUCGGGAGAUCGUUCCGGUGGUGAAGACUGGAGCAAUCGUUGCGGCUGUGGUGUUGUUUUUUUAUUUACAGAAAUAGAAGCGAUUCCAUUGUACU
rnacentral:misc_RNA from 1 species